rnacentral:lncRNA from 1 species
UGACAGAUGUAUAGUGUUUAAGAACUGCACAGGGCAGGAUAACUAUGUUGCCUCACAAAAUCAAAUUGAAAAGAUUUUAGGUGAUCGUACACUAAGAAUAUAUUAUUAUCUCACUGGAGAAUGGAAAGUCAACGUGUGUGGAGAAAACACUGGCGAUAUCAUAGAUGCUACUCUGCUUGACAGAUGCCUGCAAAAUUCCAUCACACCUUUGCAUGGACCUGUUUGGGUCUUUAAGAGAGAAGGUUUCAGCCUCUCAGGAGCAAAGAUAAAUAUCCCAGGACUUCUAUUGGCCCUGCACCAAUGAUUAAAGUCUGCAAACUGUUGCAAACAGAAUCACAGAAUCAUUUGGGUUGGAAAGGCCCUCCAAGAUCAUCAAGUGCAAGCGUUAACCUUUUUUAAAUAAAAAGGGAAUGGAGGUUAAAAAAAAGGGGGGG